UGGGGGAUAUUGCACAAUGGGCGAAAGCCUGAUGCAGCGACGCCGCGUGGGGGAUGAAGGCUUUCGGGUUGUAAACCUCUUUCGCUAUCGAACAAGGCCCGCUUAGGGUGGGUUGAGGGUAGGUGGAGAAGAAGCGCCGGCUAACUACGUGCCAGCAGCCGCGGUAAUACGUAGGGCGCGAGCGUUGUCCGGAAUUAUUGGGCGUCAAGGGCUUGUAGGCGGCUUGUUGCGCCUGCUGUGAAAACGCGGGGCUUAACUUCGCGCGUGCAGUGGGUACGGGCAGGCUUGAGUGUGGUAGGGGUGACUGGAAUUCCAGGUGUAGCGGUGGAAUGCGCAGAUAUCUGGAGGAACACCGAUGGCGAAGGCAGGUCACUGGGCCAUUACUGACGCUGAGGAGCGAAAGCAUGGGUAGCGAACAGG
rnacentral:rRNA from 1 species